GCAAACUUGGUCAUUUAGAGGAAGUAAAAGUCGUAACAAGGUUUCCGUAGGUGAACCUGCGGAAGGAUCAUUAGUGAUUUAAUUGUAGAUUGGGCUUGUUUCCAUCUACAAAUCUCUACUAUAUCAAAACCACUGUUUAAAAAUGUUUACAAGAAUGUUUAAUAGUGUGCUUUUAAUUAGCCACUAAAAAAAGAAAGCUUUUAAUAAAACUUUCAGCAAUGGAUCUCUUGGUUCAGGCAUCGAUGAAGAACGCAGC
rnacentral:misc_RNA from 1 species